rnacentral:rRNA from 1 species
CUACGGGUCGCUGCAGUGGGGAAUAUUGCACAAUGGGCGCAAGCCUGAUGCAGCCAUGCCGCGUGUAUGAAGAAGGCCUUCGGGUUGUAAAGUACUUUCAGCGGGGAGGAAGGGAGUAAAGUUAAUACCUUUGCUCAUUGACGUUACCCGCAGAAGAAGCACCGGCUAACUCCGUGCCAGCAGCCGCGGUAAUACGGAGGGUGCAAGCGUUAAGCGGAAUUACUGGGCGUAAAGCGCACGCAGGCGGUUUGUUAAGUCAGAUGUGAAAUCCCCGGGCUCAACCUGGGAACUGCAUCUGAUGCUGGCAAGCUUGAGUCUCGUAGAGGGGGGUAGAAUUCCAGGUGUAGCGGUGAAAUGCGUAGAGAUCUGGAGGAAUACCGGUGGCGAAGGCGGCCCCCUGGACGAAGACUGACGCUCAGGUGCGAAAGCGUGGGGAGCAAACAGGAUUAGAUACCCCCGUAGUC